rnacentral:RNase_P_RNA from 1 species
CAGGUCGGUCGGGUGAUCGCGGCCCCUCAAUAUGAGGGGUCGAGGAAAGUCCGCACUCCAGAGAGCAGGCUGCCGGGUAACACCCGGGGCGGGGCAACCCGCGGGACAGGGCUACAGAGAUAAACCGCUGAUAUCGCGCCCGAAAGGGAGGCGGUAAGCAAGGGUGAAACGGUGGUGUAAGAGACCACCGGCGUCCGCAGUAAUGCGGCGGCCAGGCAACCCCCAGCCGGAGCAAGGCCAAGCAGGGACAAUAUCCCUUUCGAGGGAUGGGAGGCGGCUCGUCUUCCUUGAGUCCCGGGUAGGCUGCAUGAGUGCGCGGGUAACCGUGCGCCGAGAGAGAUGAUCACCCUCUGAGAAGAGACAGAAUGCGGCUUAUAGAUUGGCCUGGGGG